GCGAUUUCCUCCGAGUCUCGUGCCUACCAAUACGAACUGGUUUUUAACAAACCGAAAUAGCGAUGGUGGGGAAUAAUAAUGUCAUUAUUUUCUAAUUUACAAUCGUCCAGUUGAUGAUCAUUCCAUUGCACCACCCGUGGUGCUUUAUUAUAAAUAUCUCGCAGGCGAUUUCGGAUGCCCUGUUGCGCAAAACGUGGUGCACGCGGGGUACAACUUCAUUUGUGUUGCGGUGCACACACGAUGAAAAUCACCGAUUUGCAUAAUAGUAGGACCAUGGCGGUCGUGCGGAGAGAAGUUAAUCGAUUUCUCGCGAAGACAAAUCGAUUCGGAUGCAGACGAAUAAAUAACGAUUACCGUUAUCGAUCAGAUUGCAUCGAUGCAACAAUCAACAACAAAAAUGGCCGCGCUUUCACAGACAGCGUAUGUAAACUUUAAACAAGUGGAUCUCACCGCGUGGAUGUCGAGAGUCGAGAACUCUAGAGGUGAAAUUAAGCACAUAUUUAAACACUGGAAUAUUAACGUCAAACUUGAAUAAAUAUUGAAUCGGU